AUGAACGCUGGCGGCGUGCUUAACACAUGCAAGUCGAACGAGAAGUGAAGACGGAAACCUUCGGGCGGAAGGCUUUAUUUCGAGUGGCGGACGGGUGAGUAACGCGUGGGUAACCUGCCUCAUACAGGGGGAUAACAGUUGGAAACGACUGUUAAUACCGCAUAAGACCACAGCACCGCAUGGUGCGGGGGUAAAAACUCCGGUGGUAUGAGAUGGACCCGCGUUCGAUUAGCCAGUUGGCGGGGUAACGGCCCACCAAAGCGACGAUCGAUAGCCGAUCUGAGAGGAUGACCGGCCACAUUGGGACUGAGACACGGCCCAAACUCCUACGGGAAGCAGCAGUGGGGAAUAUUGCACAAUGGGGGAAACCCUGAUGCAGCGACGCCGCGUGAGUGAAGAAGUAUUUCGGUAUGUAAAGCUCUAUCAGCAGGGAAGAAAAUGACGGUACCUGAGUAAGAAGCCCCGGCUAACUACGUG
rnacentral:rRNA from 1 species